ACGUCGCCAGUCUGGCCUGCUCUUCGUCCCUCAGGAACCGCUGGAGCUUCAGGAACUCUGCCUUGAUCUGCCUGCUCACAUUCUGGGCCUGCGACUGCCAGGAGAGAGAGGUGGACUGCUGAAACAUUGAUGAGUGUUUAUCGCUGGGGCUCGACGGCCUGGAAUGGAAAAAGUGCCCAGUGGGGCCAGGUGGCAGCUAUGCAUGAAACGCAGCUGAUGUGGAAUUCUUUCAUUGACAGAUCAGAUAGCAGCACGGUGAUAGCGGGGGAACCAUGCGGGGAGAGAGGCUCGGCUUCUUGUCUUCGUUUAAGAGGCUUAUAAAAAUGCCCACUGCGAUCUGAAGCAUACAAGACACUGAAAGACCAGGGCAAGGAUGUGGUUUGCAUGGCCUUUGGUUUCCAUUUCCUUUUCCCUCCCGUUCUGAUAAAGACACAUCACGUCCCCUGCUGAUGUUGGAACAUUGCCUGUGCUCCUCCAAUCAUUCGUCCCUCUCUCUCACCU